rnacentral:rRNA from 1 species
UUGAACGCUGGCGGCAUGCUUUACACAUGCACGUCGAACGGUAACAGGCCUUCGGGUGCUGGCGAGUGGCGAACGGGUGAGUAAUGCAUCGGAACGUACCCAGAGGUGGGGGAUAACGCAGCGAAAGCUGUGCUAAUACCGCAUGUGAUCUGAGGAUGAAAGCGGGGGACCGAGCAGCAAUGUUUGGCCUCGCGCCUUUGGAGCGGCCGAUGUCGGAUUAGCUAGUUGGUGGGGUAAAGGCCUACCAAGGCGACGAUCCGUAGCUGGUCUGAGAGGACGACCAGCCACACUGGGACUGAGACACGGCCCAGACUCCUACGGGAGGCAGCAGUGGGGAAUUUUGGACAAUGGGCGCAAGCCUGAUCCAGCAAUGCCGCGUGCGGGAAGAAGGCCUUCGGGUUGUAAACCGCUUUUGGCAGGAACGAAACGGUGUCCGCUAAUACCGGGCGCUAAUGACGGUACCUGCAGAAUAAGCACCGGCUAACUACGUG